rnacentral:misc_RNA from 1 species
CACAAGAUAAUUCCUCCUUCAAGUGAACAUUUUUUUCUGAUGACAGUUCAAGCUGACAUGAAUCCAGGUUGCCACUAAUAUCGCCAUCCAAGGAACAAGCAGCAUCUUCUUCGAUGAUAGCCAAAUGUGAAACAGGUUCUGUUGAGAGAAUAACAUAAGCAGCAAACUGCAAUGGUGGAACUGGUAUAGAGGAGAACAGAAUUGCAUACAAAGAGCUUAUAGGGCCUUUGCCUAGCCCCCAAAAUUCAACUGAUUUCACUGCUCUGUCUCUAACAUGUGGUGACGAGUUAAUAACAUUUGAAGCCACCAACUCCCAGAAGUAGGGAUUAUCGAGCCGAGAUGUGGCUGUAAUUGAUGCAGCUUCAUGAC